CCGCACCGCUCCGUUUCUUUUCGGUGCGGUGUUAGUGGGAGGAGGAUGUGAACCGAGGUGUAAAUAGAGAAGCAUCCUCCGCCUCCGAAACCAACACCUGCUGUUAGUGGGGACGUGAUGAGACUGGCUGUUUGACCCAGUGUUGGGUCUGAGAAAGGACACGGACGUUUGGUGGAACAUUUGGAAGGCGGAGCGAACCGACAGCGAGACGCGACGCCAGUAAAUAAUUUACAGACCAUGAACUAUGUGGGUCAGUUGGCGGGCCAGGUGUUUGUGCAGGUGAAGGAGCUGUACAGAGGCCUCAACCCUGCGACAUUGUCUGGAUGUAUAGAUGUCAUCGUGGUUCGCCAGCCUGAUGGCUCCCUGCAGUGCUCCCCCUUCCACGUUCGCUUCGGCAAGAUGGGCAUGCUGUGGUCCCGUGAGAAACUGGUGGACAUAGAGAUCAAUGGAGAGCCAGUGAGUCUGCACAUGAAGCUGGGCGAGAAUGGAGAGGCCUUCUUUGUCAAAGAGACUGAGAACACACUGGAAGUAGUUCCAUCCUACCUUGCAACAACACCCAUCAUGUCGAUGGGGGAGGAGUUGAUGGAGUCGCAGCUGGGCAGAGCCACUUCUUGUCACCACGAUGCCAUCACCUGCAGCUUACGUCCUGUCCAGAACCUGGGACCGCAGCAAAGUGAUGGAACGAUAAGCAAGAAGAGGAGGAGGAAGGCACGGCCAGAGGGAGGUGCAGCGGGAGGAGGAGGGAGGAGAGAGGAGAGCGUGGAGGAGUUUUCAGAGGAUGAAGACAUGUUUACUAUUGACUUGAGCUCGGAUGAAGACCGAGAGGGUGACAGCAGCAGACCUGCAUUUGGUGAUCAGGUGUCCGCAGCAGUUGCCCACACACCCCCUAGCACCGACGGGAUCACUUCACAGAGUAAAGUGAUGAAGGAGAUUCUCUCCGUCACUUCGCCCUGCGGUCUGUCCAUGUCUUGUCCUCAGCAGACCUCUCCCUUCUCUUCCCCUGCUCGCAGCCCUGACGAUUCACAGUCAUCAACACCAAAGAGCGAUUCAGAGUUAACCAAACGGAGCAAAGACAACCCUGAGAUGCUGUGGACCUGGGGGGAGCUGCCACAGGCUGCACAGCCGUCCUUCCUGACAUCCCACCGGAAGCAGGACUCUGCUACAUCAGUCUCCAUCCCAGUGUCUGGCAGCACUCACUCCAGAGCCAUCAGUGACACUGGAGCUCCUUCCAUCAUGCUCUAUACCCCCCAGCCAGGAGAGGGCACUGCUUGUGGUGGGGACACAGAACAAAGCAAGCAUGGAGCCAGAGACGGACUAGCUAACAAGACUGUGGACAAGGCUGGAGCAGAGCAAGAGGUGGGUGGGCCGUCAUGUGAAGAGAUGGAGGGUCUAAGAGCCUGCUCAGUGUCUCCCAGGAUUCUCCCUGAUCAUCUGGACAAAGGUGGGACUACAGAAAGUCCCAUUAGAAGAACUGAUUCACCACGCAAGAAGAAAGAAAAAAGAAGCCAACACCUGAGUGCUGAUGGAAUAUAUCUGGAUGACAUUACAGAUCUGGAGCCAGAAGUCGCGGCUCUCUACUUAACUAAAAGCGAUGGAGGCAGCAGCUCAGUGAUUGGGGACUCAGAGAUGAUGAUGAUGGGAGUGCAGAGCGCUAAUCAGUCCCCACAGUCAGUGGGCAGCAGCAGGGUGGACAGCGGUGUGGACAGUUUGUCCGACCACAUAGGGGACAUGCCUCAUGUUGCCAUCUCUUUGUGUGGAGGACUCGUGAACAACAGGGAGAUCACAAGAGAGCAGUUCCAGGAGAGGGCAGUUUCCUACCAGCAGUUCUCAGCAAACCCUUCUAUCAUUGAUGACCCUAACCUGGUGGUCCAGAUAGGAAACAAGUAUUACAACUGGAACACAGCAGCCCCUGUCAUGUUGGCCAUGCAGGUCUACCAGAAACCACUGCCACAGUGUUGGUGUUUGAGUUACAUGUUUUCUGUCUUUGGCCUCUUCUCAUACUGCUUCCCCGGUCUGUUCGGCUCCAGCCCUCCCAAGCCUGCCUCAGUGGAAAACAUCGUGAAGGAGAAGAUGCCAAAGAAAGGAGGACGCUGGUGGUUCUCAUGGAGGAGCAGGAACAGAGAAUCUAAAUCAGAAUCGGUGACAGAAGCAGGAGGAGACCAAGGAGAGAGCUCUUGCAUUAUGGCCUCAGUGGACAGAAUGAAAGAUGAGUCAUCCUCCAGUGAUGAGGACCACAGAUCAUUCAGUCAGGUGUCAGAGCCCCCUGUGACCUCUGCCAGCAUCUGUUACAAAAAGACACUUCGACUCAGCUCAGAGCAACUGGCUAGCCUCCAGCUGAAGGAGGGUCCUAAUGAGGUGGUGUUUAGUGUGACCACUCAGUAUCAGGGCACCUGUCGCUGCCAUGGCACAAUCUAUCUUUGGAGCUGGAAUGACAAAAUAGUUGUCUCUGAUAUAGAUGGAACCAUCACCAGGUCCGACACCCUGGGUCACAUCCUCCCCACACUGGGUAAAGACUGGACCCAUCAGGGCAUCGCACGGCUCUACCACAGAGUCAGCCAGAAUGGAUAUAAAUUCAUGUACUGCUCAGCGAGGGCCAUCGGCAUGGCUGAUAUGACCCGAGGCUACCUGCACUGGGUCAAUGAGAGGGGAACCAUGCUGCCAAUGGGCCCAGUGCUGCUCAGCCCCAGCAGUCUUUUUUCUGCCUUGCACAGGGAGGUGAUUGAGAAGAAACCAGAGAAGUUUAAGGUUGAGUGUCUUACAGACAUCAAGCACCUUUUCUACCCAAACACUGAACCUUUUUAUGCUGCAUUUGGCAACAGAGCUACGGAUGUGUAUUCCUAUAAAGAGGUUGGCGUUUCUCUAAACAGGAUCUUCACUGUCAAUCCCAAGGGGGAACUGACACAGGAACAUGCCAAGACCAACAUCUCCUCCUAUGGGCGUCUGUGUGACAUGGUGGACCAUGUCUUCCCCAUCCUGUCUCGAAACGAGGGAACAGACUUCCCCUGCCAUGAUGUUUUUGACCAGUGUGACUACUGGGGCAAACAGCUUCCUGAUGGCACAACCCAGAAAGAAGACGGCCCACAGCUCCUUGAGGCAACCUGAGUAUACUCCAUCUUCACUGAGGACUCUGCAUUCCAGCUGCGCAACACUAUGAUGUCUGCUGAGCUCCUCUCCGCAAGUGGACCAGAAGGGAAUAAUACAAGUCUUCAAGGGGCAGCAAACCAUUACAUCGCUUCAUUAAGGGGCAACCCAAGACUGUUGGUAUCACUGUGCUGGUCUUGGGUGUCUCCUUCUUCACCAUUUCCAUUGGGACCGCGGGCUCCAGAAAGAUUAAUUACACCUUCCUAGGUGUGCUAGGAGCAAAGUUCAUCGCAUGUGGGAUUAUGUAUAUCAGGACGGAGUACCACACAACCAAGAAAACAGUCACUAUAUCAUUGGCUCUUACUUGGGGUAUGUUGGGCUGUCUUGUUAGUCCUGCCCAGCACAAUAGUUAACCAUGACUACUACAUCCACCAAACUGACUUUCAUGAAGGCAGUAAUUCAACAGACCUUGAUGAUGCAUCAUCCUUUCUACACUAUCAGGUCAUGGCCGUGGAAGUGAUCUUCCUGUUCUAUGCAGUUGCUGGAGGGAUUAUUUUCAUUGUAAUGUCAACUUUUGCCGGUGCUGCCCUACGUUCCACAAAGAGCCAGGUAAAACAAACAGAGCUGAGAGCUGUGCACGUCCCUCUCACUAAAGCCCCUUUUCCACUGCCUGGUACUGGCUCAACUCAACUCUACUCGGUUUUGGUACCAGGUGCUUGGUUUUCCAACUUAUUUUAAGAAUAAGUGUUCUUUGUUACUACGUACCUAUGUGUGCAUGCGCAGCGCGGAGUGGCAGAAAGUUACAGCAGCUGUGUCCUCGUUGUGUUC